GGUGCCAUGGUGCCAGAGUAUUGGGCUUGGAUGUCUGAGGAGGUAUGGCCUGUUGUCAUGUUAUUUCUGAUGUUAAAUAAUUAAUGAGAUCCCACAGCCUGCUUAGUAUGGACAUAUAUACUGCACAAUAGCUCUGAGUAUGGAGUUGCAGAGAGCCAAGAGGAAAUCAGGGCUUUGUCUGCUUGAUUUAUUUAACAAUACAGUAUAGACUAGCUUCAUUCUGCAGUAUUGCUUCAUACUAUUCUGCUAUUUUAUUGUCAUAAUUGUCUUCUAAACUGUGGCCAAGACUCAAAGCAUAAAGAUUUAGUGUAUAGAUCUCUACAAUUACUGCUUUUCAUGUGAAUGUUGUUAUUUCUCUGAGCAUUGUUUUGCAUGUCAGGGCAAUCACUUAUGCAAACUGUUGUACAGCAGGUGUACUGUUUUAAGUUGUAAGGUCGCUUACUAGCUUGUAGUUGCUAAAGGAAUGACCUGUUUAUAAUGAAUUGAUUGAUAUGUUGCAUGUCUCAAGUUAUCUAUGUAUUUCACGUUAAUACAUAUAUUUGCACUUUAAACAAUACGUUUAAAGCUGUUAAUUUUAGGCAAUUAUAUUUUCCUCUAUUUUUCAAAUGAUCAUUGUCAUUAAAAAGAGUCUCAUGUAAAUGAAUAGUUAAUGUGAGUUGGAUUUCCAAAAAAGAUCAUGUUCCUAAUAGGUACACUUUUAGAAAAAAAUGGCUAAAGCUGGGUUUCUAGAAAAUGCUAGAAAUGUGAACUCAUCAAGAGCUGAACGUUCAGGGCAUCAUCUUUGCCAUUAUGUUGGCACACACCUUGCCAAGGUUGUUUUCAUGCUGAUGAACAUCCCAACCUGCUGAUCCCAGACACCCCUGGAGAACUGUACUGCAACGCUGCCUCAUCCAGGAGAUCUGAUUGAGACAACCAGAAUGCCAUCUGCCCCUCUACAAGAUUACACUGGACUGGGCCAAGAAAUACUCCAGCAGACCAGAUUAAAUAUGAAAUAUAGGGCAGGAAAGGCUGCGUCCUAGUCUCUCGCUCGCUCUCUCUCUCUGUCUCUGUCUUUAGCUUUAGAUUUCUGCCUCCCUGUUUCUCCAUUUUCUCCAGUGGUGCAUCAGACACUGUCUGGAAUUCUAUUAGGCUGACUUUCCUUUCUGUUUUUCUAGUAUUGUAUACAUUAGAGUCUGAG
rnacentral:lncRNA from 1 species